UCGGAAGUGAGUUUACGGGUUGAUUAUACAAAUUUGUCUGAAUAUACAAAAAAUAACCGAAAUAUAGUAUAAAAAUGAGCUGACCGUAGGCUUUAGCAGCACACAUAACCAGGGUCUGCUGCUAAACACUCAAAUAUGCUUGCUAUGUCAAACGACAACUAUGAGGAAGUUGUUAUGGAAGGCAAGCUUGAACGCGGCAUUAUUUGCCGAGAGUAUGUAUAAAAGCUAUUGCAACUCAAUUUGUGUGUGCAAAACUGUGGAAAGUUGAUAAUUCCAUACAUUUUGAACUGCUUUUGCACGAAUUUAAUGAGGAACAUGGCAAAUCCAAUUAAUAAACGUCAAGCGGCUGGGUGAUCGACCGCAGCCUGGACAUCUGCAGCCUAGAGUUCGAUAAAACACCAUUAAUGGUUACAUUUUGCUGCACCUUUUGUAAUUUACAUGUUAAGCAUCACUUGUGCAGUGCCCGAUGAUUGCAGUUUGCAUAAAUUAAAUAUCGUUAUGAAUUUGUAUGCUAAUACCUAUGCACUACGCGGUAUAUUUAUGCUUCGUUAUGAAUAGCAAGUUGUUGCGGCAGUAAUUAAAUUGUAAAUGUUGGCGAAAAUGUGUGCAAUAAUAAUUGCGAAAUGGUUAAAGUUAUCGAUUGCAUGUGUAAAUUAAAAGGUUUGUGGUUGUUAUUGGUUUAUAAAAAACAUAUAUUCGUAAAAUGCUAUAUUCUAACCUAAAA